CCUACGGGAGGCAGCAGUCGAGAAUCAUUCACAAUGGGGGAAACCCUGAUGGUGCGACGCCGCGUGGGGGAAUGAAGGUCUUCGGAUUGUAAACCCCUGUCAUGUGGGAGCAAAUUAAAAAGAUAGUACCACAAGAGGAAGAGACGGCUAACUCUGUGCCAGCAGCCGCGGUAAUACAGAGGUCUCAAGCGUUGUUCGGAAUCACUGGGGGUAACGCGUGCGUAGGCUGUUUCGUAAGUCGUGUGUGAAAGGCGCGGGCUCAACCCGCGGACGGCACAUGAUACUGCGAGACUAGAGUAAUGGAGGGGGAACCGGAAUUCUCGGUGGAGCAGUGAAAUGCGUAGAUAUCGAGAGGAACACUCGUGGCGAAGGCGGGUUCCUGGACAUUAACUGACGCUGAGGCACGAAGGCCAGGGGAGCGAAAGGGAUUAGAUACCCGGGUAGUC
rnacentral:rRNA from 1 species